CAAUUUUUUGUACAAAAUUAAAUACAUUUUAUUAAAUUUACCUAUAUAGUAUAUUAGCCAUGGCUGUGCCCCCUUUAAGUGAAAUUAUUAAAGAAUCAAUUAAAGAGUCGCCGGGACGUGUAUAUUUUUUAUUUGUGGUUUUUAUUUUAAUAAUUCUUUUAUUUUGCUAUGUUGUGUUUUAUAAAUGUGUAAAUUAUAGACGAAGACUCCGGUUGUUAGCGAGAGGCGUCCGUUACGAGGACGAUAUCGGACCUUUCGCUAAACAUGUGCAACGACGUCUGGUGAGACGUCGUAACUAAGUAGUCUUAAAUAAUAUAACUGACGGGGUGGAGUGGGUCAGUGUGAUUAGUGGGUGGGAUUAAAUGGGGAUGGUGAACAUGAUGACGUGGGAAAGGGAAAUACUGUGGACAACUUUAUACGAUCCUGUUAGUAUAGCUAAUAUACUCAAAGUUAUCAUUAAACUUUUGCAAAUUAAGCAGUUUCUCUUUUUUAAAGAAAAACCAAAAAGCAGAAUAGACAUUAAGACCAUUAAUGCAAGAAAGUCCUAUUUCAUUCUACUGCAUUCAAAUAAAAAGAUAACAUGAGGGAUACGGACUCUGUUGCGUCAUACUAUAGCCUCUCGAAUCAACUGUCAAUCUCUGCCUUCACCUGCGUCUACUCAAAUCAAACAACUCGAGUUUUCACACGAAGUGACAACCGGUCACCUAAUAAGUUGACGGAACAGAAAAGAAAAGGGACACGAUUUGGAAUAUGGAAUGUUCGUACAUUUGAAUUAGUUAAUUUGAUUUAGUGUGUAUCAUAUCUUUUUAUGCCAAAGAAUGGAAAAAAAUUUGAGCUUCUAAUAAAAUAGAUCACAAUUGCUUUAUGGACCUUCAUUGAGACUAAGUGUAACCUAUCUACACUUUACUUACAAACCACCUUGGAAGAGCAGCAUCACCAUAACACUAUUCAAGCGAUAAUGUAUUGAGCAAUUUUUUCCACUACAUUUCAUUUCACCACAAACUUGGAAAAUUCUUGGAAAAUAAUAGCAGUAUUAACCACAUCUAGUUCGUCACAUUGCAUAUAGCGUACUUGAGAAAUGGAUUGAAAGUCACCAAAACCCGUUGAUAAACCAGAAAUAUCAGAAUCUCCCCACUGCACCUGUUUUUAUUUUUAAUUUAAUUGAAUGUUAAAUAAAAUCUUCAAGUUUUUAAAAUAU